rnacentral:rRNA from 1 species
CGGACGGGUGAGUAACACGUGGAUAACCUACCUAUAAGACUGGGAUAACUUCGGGAAACCGGAGCUAAUACCGGAUAAUAUAUUGAACCGCAUGGUUCAAUAGUGAAAGACGGUUUUGCUGUCACUUAUAGAUGGAUCCGCGCCGCAUUAGCUAGUUGGUAAGGUAACGGCUUACCAAGGCAACGAUGCGUAGCCGACCUGAGAGGGUGAUCGGCCACACUGGAACUGAGACACGGUCCAGACUCCUACGGGAGGCAGCAACA